GACGUAGGGCGCGAGCGUUGUCCGGAUUUAUUGGGCGUAAAGAGCUCGUAGGCGGCUCGUCGCGUCGACCGUGAAAACCCGCAGCUUAACUGCGGGCUUGCGGUUGAUACGGGCGGGCUAGAGUUCGGUAGGGGAGACUGGAAUUCCUGGUGUAGCGGUGAAAUGCGCAGAUAUCAGGAGGAACACCGAUGGCGAAGGCAGGUCUCUGGGCCACUACUGACGCUGAGAAGCGAAAGCAUGGGGAGCGAACAGG
rnacentral:rRNA from 1 species